CUAUCUCCCUCACUAAGGCAUGAUGAACAGUUAUCUGAAUUAGAAGUGCUGCCUAUGCUAGGAUCAGAAGUCCCACCUGAGCCAGAGUUCUUUGCAAGACAUGAACUGACUUCGUCAUAAGGAGUUUCUGUUGAGUAGCAAAGCUCCUUCACUGCCACAUUGUGUCCAUUCUGGAAGCCUUUAUUGAUUCUGUGGUUAGAGUUUCCUGAUUCCCCCUUAUUAUUCUCAUGAUCAAUUUCACCAAAAUUUCCAGUAACUUCACCAGAACACUUACCACCAGGUGACUUGAAUAAGUUAUUGAAAGUAGAUGACAUCAAGGUAACAUCACUGUCUGAGUUGCUCCGAGUAUACUUUUUGUAUGAUUCUGUAGGUUCCCACACUUUCUUAGAAUGAAGCAAAUCCCUGCUACAAGAAUUGUUUGCUGUGAUGCUUUUGCUUUUGGGUCUUACACAACUUUCACGCAUGUAAUCUAUUUGCCCAUACUUGUUCCCACAAUAAAAUUUCUUGGACAUAUCUAGUGUAGACUCUGACUUACCAACAGAUUUGCUAUCCCGGCCAGUUCUUAUUGCAGAAACAUGUGGUUCAACCUUCACCCUGUAUUCAUUGUUUUGGUGACAGCUACAAGAAUGGAAGUCAUAUCUGUCAUUCAUCCUGUUGUUAACACAAUGAAACUUCUCAUUAAACUUAAGGCCGCAAGUUCGGCCAUUAGACUUCUGUCUAUUUAUCCUUGACUGCCUAUUCAAUCCAGUGACACCCCUUGGAGGAGUCUCAAAAUUGUCAGUGUAAUGUCUCGACUCAAAUCUAUUAACCAUAGCCCCAUUUCCUGAAACAAUGGCAAAUCGACAUCUAUCAGACAACUUCAAAGAGGGAUCAAUCAGAACUUCUUUCCGAAAUUUCAAUCUCCGACGAGAAAAUUUUGAUUGUUCAAUC
rnacentral:misc_RNA from 1 species